UACGUAGGGUGCGAGCGUUAAUCGGAAUUACUGGGCGUAAAGGGUGCGCAGGCGGCUCCGCAUGUCGGGCGUGAAAUCCCCGGGCUCAACCCGGGAACUGCGUCCGAUACUGGCAGGCUUGAAUCCGGGAGAGGGAUGCGGAAUUCCAGGUGUAGCGGUGAAAUGCGUAGAUAUCUGGAGGAACACCGGUGGCGAAGGCGGCAUCCUGGACCGGCAUUGACGCUGAGGCGCGAAAGCCAGGGGAGCAAACGGG
rnacentral:rRNA from 1 species